ensembl:snRNA U6 U6 spliceosomal RNA
GUGCUCAUUUUGGCAGCACAUAAACUAAAAUUGGAACAAUACAGAAAAUAUCAGCAUGGCCCAAGGAUGACAUUCAAAUUCAAGACACAUUCAAUAUUUUU